GGCCAUUUUGUCGUCAGUGCAGUCAGAGGACAAACGCUUCAUGCAAAUAUUAUCAAUCUGUGGUGCAAGCCUUACCUUGUUGAGCGCAAUAAGAAAUUGUCUUCAAAACCUGGAAUAUUUGCAAUGUAAUAUUAAAGACCACGAGUAAUCUGGGCUUCGAACUCAACAGAAAAGCCU